rnacentral:lncRNA from 1 species
AUUUACCUGGGGGGGGUCCCAAAACUCACCUGGGGGACCCCAAAAUUCACCUGGGUAGCCCCAAAAUCAACUGGGGGGCACCAAAACUCACCUGGGGGACACCUGGGGGGGGUCCCAAAAUUACCUGGGGGGGUCCCAAAAUCACCUGGGGGCCCCAAAACUCACCUGGGGGACCCCAAAACUCACCUGGGGGGUCCCAAAACUCACCUGGGGAGCACCUGGGGGGGUCCCAAAAUCACCGGGGGACCCCAAAACUCACCUGGGGGGUCCCAAAACUCACCUGGGGGACACCUGGGGGGGUCCCAAAAUUACCUGGGGGGUCCCAAAACUCACCUGGGGAGCCCCAAAAUCACCUGGGGGGCACCUGGGGGGGUCCCAAAAUCACCGGGGGACCCCAAAACUCACCUGGGGGGUCCCAAAACUCACCUGGGGGACACCUGGGGGGGUCCCAAAAUUACCUGGGGGGUCCCAAAACUCACCUGGGGAGCACCAAAACUCACCUGGGGGACCCAAAAUAUCACCUGGGGGACCCCAAAAUUCACCUGGGGGACACCUGGGGGACCCCAAAACUCACCUGGGGGGUCCCAAAAUCACCCUGGGGGACCCCAAAAUUCACCUGGGGAGCCCCAAAACUCACCUGGGGGACCCCAAACUCACCUGGGGGGGUCCCAGCCCCGGGGGGUUUGGGGAAUUUGGGGGUUUUUGGGGUCUCCAGCCCCUUUUUCUCUCUCCCCCCACAGGAGGAACCAGCGACCCCCCCCAGGUGUGACGGGGGGGGGACCCCAAAUCCCACCUGAACCCCCCCAGGUGGGACCGGGACCCCAAAAAUCCCAAAUCUCACCUGGGGGGGGCCCAAAAAAUCCCCAAAUUUCCUUGGGGAACCCCAAAAAUCCCAAAUCUCACCUGGGGGACCCAAAAUCCCCCUGGGGAUGCCCCAAAAAUCCCCAAAUCUCACCUGGGGGGCCCAAAAAACCCCAAAUUUCCUUGGGGAACUCCAAAACUCCCAAAUCUCACCUGGGGGGACCCCAAAAACCCCAAAAUCCCCCUGGGGAGGCCCCAAAAAUCCCAAAUCUCACCUGGGGGGACCCCAAAAACCCCAAAAUCCCCCUGGGGAGGCCCCAAAAAUCCCAAAUCUCACCUGGGGGGGGUCCCCAAUUUUCCCCCCGUGGGGAUUUUGGGGUCCCCCCCCCUCUCCAGUUUUGUCUUUUUGUCGAAUAAAACUUCAAAACUCCUCCGGCUUCGUCCUUAAUUUUUGGGUGUCCCCAUUAAUUUUGGGGUCCCCCCCGGUCUUUUUCACCCCCCCCCCCAAAAAAAAAAAAAUCCCAAAUUUUGGGGCGGUUCCUCAAAAAAAAAAAACACAAAAACCCCAAAUUUGGAGCUUUUUUCCUCCAUUAAAAAAUCAAAUUUUGGGGUUUUUUUUCCCCUAAAAAAAGCCCCAAAUUUUGGAGUGGGGGUGUCCCCAACCCUCCCCCCAAAAUUUUGGGGUUCCCCACCCCCCCCGGCCCCUCCCAGCCCCCCUUUUUUGGGAUUUCCUGCCCCCCCCGGUUUAUUUCCCCUUCCCGCGGGUUCCGCUGAAAACGGCGGCGCCGCUCCAGGUGAGGGGGGGGGGGGAUUUUGGGGGGUCCCGGGGGGGUUUUUGGGGACCCCUCCCCCUCCAACCCGAUUUUAGGGGGUCCUCGCCUCAUUUUUGGGGGGAUCCCGGCCUGAA